rnacentral:rRNA from 1 species
UCGGGAAUUUUGGGCAAUGGGCGAAAGCCUGACCCAGCAACGCCGCGUGAAGGAUGAAGUAUUUCGGUAUGUAAACUUCGAAAGAAUAGGAAGAAUAAAUGACGGUACUAUUUAUAAGGUCCGGCUAACUACGUGCCAGCAGCCGCGGUAAUACGUAGGGACCAAGCGUUGUUCGGAUUUACUGGGCGUAAGGGGCGCGUAGGCGGCAUGACAAGUCACUUGUGAAAUCUCUGGGCUUAACCCAGAACGGCCAAGUGAUACUGUCGCGCUAGAGUGCAGAAGGGGCAAUCGGAAUUCUUGGUGUAGCGGUGAAAUGCGUAGAUAUCAAGAGGAACACCUGAGGUGAAGACGGGUUGCUGGGCUGACACUGACGCUGAGGCGCGAAAGCCAGGGGAGCAAACGGGAUUAGAUACCCUAGUAGUCCCUGAGCGGGCUGGCAAGGCGCAU